rnacentral:rRNA from 1 species
UACGUAGGGUGCAAGCGUUGUCCGGAAUUAUUGGGCGUAAAGAGCUUGUAGGCGGUUUGUCGCGUCUGCUGUGAAAUUUCGGGGCUCAACCCCGAACUUGCAGUGGGUACGGGCAGACUAGAGUGUGGUAGGGGAGACUGGAAUUCCUGGUGUAGCGGUGAAAUGCGCAGAUAUCAGGAGGAACACCGAUGGCGAAGGCAGGUCUCUGGGCCAGUAACUGACGCUGAGAAGCGAAAGCAUGGGGAGCGAACAGG